rfam:Ixodes scapularis strain Wikel colony gcontig_1107728669046, whole genome shotgun sequence.
CCAAGGGUCCUUUUUGGGACCACUCUUAUUUAUUUAUUUAUUUAUU